ensembl:lncRNA
AAUAACCAAUGCAUUUAAGCAUGUGCAAUAUGGGCAAAGCCUUUAAAAGAUGUUCCUUUGGAAAUACAUGUUCUGCUAUACCAACACCGGUAGUAUCAGCUCUGAGUUAGCUGUAAAUCCCAUUUUGUACCACGCUAACUUCAUUGUGCUAACAGUGUCUGAGGUUAAGCACUACAUAUUCCCUCUGCUUAGUAUGCGCCUGUUGAAAUGGCUUUUCUAAGCACUGAUAAACAAUCAUUUAGUUAGCGGUUUACUCUUUGCAAUAAAUAAUUCUUACCCAGCGCACUGCUGAGAGAAAAACUGACUGGGUAUCCAUGCACGUGCACUCAGUAAACCACCCAUAAUAAUGUGGGAAUAUGAUUGGUUGAUCUGGAUCUCGCAGGUUGAGUAGAGGGGCUGUAUGGCAGGGAUAAUCAGUUCAAGCAGGAAAUAAAUGAUGCUCACUGACUGUGCCAGACAGGUAAAGGGUGACCAGAUCCCAACAAACUAAAUGAGGGACAAGCACGGUGUUUGUGUGGCACAAACUGUGACAUGUUAACAAUGCUGGGAGGCAUUCAAAUAUUUAAAUCCAACUUUCCAACUCUCUUAGUCAGUAAAUGCGAGAAAAAUAAAAGGAAGCUGAAGUUUGGGGCUAAAAAUGCAAUGCAGUACUAUUUAAAGUGGGACAUCUGUUCACCUGAGACAGGGAUGAACCAGGAGAAGAAUUAAUCAGCACCAGACCCAAUGAAAUAGUAAUAUAAUAUUUCCGGAGAGUGGUGUAUAUCUGUAUCUGCCAUCACCGUGGCGCUCCACAUUUAUAGGUAAUCUUAGAUGAAUCUAUUCUCAAUCCUAAAUAACGUGACGGUUUGAAGGCUUUCUGAAAAUCACCCUUAUGUCAAUAAUUAUGUGCCUCUGGUCUUUUAACAAUGGCUCAAAGCAAUAUAGCUAUUACAAUGCUAUUCUAAAGAUAUAGAUGUAUAUUUUUGUGUAUGUAUUAUCCAUAUGAGUGUAGGUUUUCCAUUGUUCAGCUAAGUUAGAUGAGACAAAAACCAAACAGCACACAGGCGUAGAUGGUUAAAGGCUGUUGGUGAACACUGAUGAUGAUGGUGUUUUGAUGGCAAUCGAUGGCAACAGAUGAGUGUUACAGAAAAAAAUAUCCUUAUUUGCUUGUCCUCCUGUGAGUAAAAUGAGAAAAUCGGUAUCACUCUUUCACAAAGCUACUACCACCAAAUCAGUUAGCUGAACUUAGGCUGGCUUUUUCCAAAUGUGACAGUUUAUUAGCACCUCAAAAGCUUUAUCAAUUCUGAUGAACACAUGUGAGUGUUUGUAUCAAAGCACUCAUCUAACUCUCAGCAAGAGAACAAGCAAACCGAUUUCUCUUUCUCAAUACCUUUGAAAAACAUAUUGUAGGUAAGCAAAGCGCUGGAAGUAUUAUGUGCAAUAGUAAUUUAAUGUUCCAACUAUGGUAAAUUAUUGUUUAGAUUUCAAGAGAAAAUCCACCUUAGAGUCAGAUCUUACCUCCUAGGCUGUUGUUGUGACUUUGGAAACACGAAGGCAAAGUUGCACAAGCUCGUAAGUUAAAAAAUAUUUAAUCGCAAUAAAUAUAUUUAAUUGUAAAAGGGUGGAUUUUCUCUGAGUGUAAAAGAUCCACUUCUGUCAGGUGUUGUUGGUUUUAAGGUUGUUGUUUAUUUCUUUUUUUUAUUGUUUUAUUAUUGUGUCAAUGAUUUAAUUAACUGAGGAAAAUAAGCUUUAAGUGGAUGUGCCCAAACAAGCUUUGGGUGAAUGUAUGCGACUCUAUGCAAAUCACAACAGAACUGAAUGUGAAUUUGUUGUACUGUACCUUGGCUUAACUGUGACAGCUCUGUAUGCAAUACAAUAGCAGGGGAUGUCGUGGAUCAGGGAGUUUUAAUGGUGGCGCUCAUAUGGAUAAGAAGCAGAAAGCUAUACAAUCCAAUGGCACACGUUGUUGCUCUACAUGGUGAAUGGGGAACAUCCAAAGGGGAGCAUGGAGCUGACUGGAGCCCCUGUACUCGAUUGGACCUCAGAAAGCCUAAAGACUCAGAAAGUCAUACUCAACCGCUGCUCUCAGUAGAAAAAUACAGCUGUAAUGCUCUUGCUCGCCCUCAAAUGAUGUCCCCAUUUUCAACCUCUAAUUCAUGCAUACCAACUCUUGAUCUCUUUACUAUAGAAAAAUAAAG